rnacentral:rRNA from 1 species
CAGCCGCCACGGUAAUACGUAGGGUGCGAGCGUUAAUCGGAAUUACUGGGCGUAAAGCGUGCGCAGGCGGUUCGUUAAGACAGAUGUGAAAUCCCCGGGCUUAACCUGGGAACUGCAUCUGUGACUGGCGAGCUAGAGUAUGGCAGAGGGGGGUGGAAUUCCGCGUGUAGCAGUGAAAUGCGUAGAUAUGCGGAGGAACACCGAUGGCGAAGGCAGCCCCCUGGGCCAAUACUGACGCUCAUGCACGAAAGCGUGGGGAGCAAACAGGAUUAGAUACCCCUGUAGUCCCUGUCUCUUAUAC